rnacentral:rRNA from 1 species
GACGAACGCUGGCGGCGUGCUUAACACAUGCAAGUCGAACGGAAAGGCCCCUUUGGGGGUACUCGAGUGGCGAACGGGUGAGUAACACGUGAGUAACCUGCCCUUGACUUCGGGAUAACUUCAGGAAACUGGGGCUAAUACCGGAUAGGAAUCCUUGCUGCAUGGUGGGGGUUGGAAAGCUUCGGCGGUUUUGGAUGGACUCGCGGCUUAUCAGCUUGUUGGUGGGGUAGUGGCUUACCAAGGCUUUGACGGGUAGCCGGCCUGAGAGGGCGACCGGCCACAGUGGGACUGAGACACGGCCCAGACUCCGACGGGAGGCAGCAGUGGGGAAGAUUGAACAAAGGGCGGAAGCCGGAUGCAGCAACGCCGCGUGCGGGAUGACGGCCUUCGGGUUGGAAACCGCAUUCAGCAGGGGCGAAGCUUGUGGUGACGGUACCUGCAGAAGAAGCACCGGCUAACUACGUG